rnacentral:lncRNA from 1 species
GGAAGUGGUUUGUUUUGCUGCCAGACCAUCCAGUAGUACCCUUUCCAUCUACUUUGACAUUAUCUCUGUCCUGUUAAAAAUUAGUUUAGUGACAUUUUCCUCAUUUGGUUGAGGUAGGCGCAGGUCAUCAACGUAAAUCGUAUUUCUACCUUGGUCAAUAAUUGUUAUUUCAAAUAAUAAUGCCUACCUCAAUAGCUGAUUGGUCUUGUUAAUGGAUGAUAUAUGCAGCGAUUAAUCUUUUAUAUUUUCCCAAUUUCAUAUAAUGUGGCUAUCACCCUAGAAUCCCCAGGAUGUUAUGAAAAUUGCUUAAUAGAGUAGAAAUUAAUCCUAGAAGUAGUUUAGGGGGUGUGUGUUGUGCAAUUCCAAUGGGUAGUGGCAACGAUACAAUGGCUUUUUAUUUUUAAAACAAAAUAAAUGUUGCCUUGUCAAGAACCCACCUAAUACAGUACAAAUUAAAAAGGUCUGAGUGUAUCUUUGUUUUCGGUCCAUGUGAUAGAAAAUUGACAGGAUUUGUAUUUUGGAGAAUUCACUCUUCUCAUAUGCAGUUUUCCCCCAAGUAUUGUACUAUAUAUUUUUUUUUUCUUUUUAUUGAAAGCAGUAGUUGAUAAGGAAUCUCGUGGCAGGUUCUUUUUCC